rnacentral:lncRNA from 1 species
CCGACACACAUGCCGGAGGUCGUGGUUGUCCGGUCGAAGUCGCCGUCGCCGUCGCCGGUAGGUCGUCUGAGUCGGCAGGCGUCGGCGGCGAGGGGCGUCGCCGUCGCCGGGUGGCUGCAAGGGGUGGAUGCAAGUGAAACCACGUCGGCAGCGGCAUCGGCAUCGGCAUCGCAGGUCGUGGCGCUGUCGAGGGAAGGUGGCCGAUCGCGGUCGCCGUCACCGUCGCCGGUGCCACAUUAAUAACGAGGCUGCAGAAGAGACGCCAGGAUAAGGCUAGCAUGACAGGGAAUUUGAUUUGAUUCUUCUCCUUGUUUUUAUUUGAUCUUCAUUUUAUUAGCUCUUCAAUUAGAAGCGUGUGUGCUUAGGUUUGCUCUCUAGUCACAUUGUCUUAUUACAUUAGAAAAAAAAAGAAAAUACAUGUAUACCAAGAGAAAAUUCCUCGUGUGUGUUUUGAGUUUUCCCUUAAUUUUCACUGAAGGGAUAAUUGUUUGGUUCUUUCGUGAAAAAAGCAAAACGAAAUAUUUAUAAACAAAAAAUAAAAAUAUCCUACGUUAUUUUCUGUCGCUGUGUUUCAGGAAUUGUCGCAAAAACAGCAAGGUCCUCUCCAAGACAAUACGCUUUCAUUUCUGCCCCUGAAACGCCGCACGUAGGAAAUUAGGUUAAUUUAGAUACAGUAUCUCUCCCAAAAUAUAAAUUAUUAACCGAUAAGUCAUGCCUAAUGAUUAGAAUGGGUUAGGUCCUGCCUAUGAGCUUGCAAGUUUAACUAGCACGACAAGACAUAGGCUGAUGAAAGAUUUUUUUAAUCACGGUGCACUGUAGAGCAUGAAUAUCCCCG